UACGGGAGGCAGCAGUGGGGAAUCUUAGACAAUGGGCGCAAGCCUGAUCUAGCCAUGCCGCGUGAUCGAUGAAGGCCUUAGGGUUGUAAAGAUCUUUCGUGGGGGAAGAUAAUGACGGUACCCCAAGAAGAAGCCCCGGCUAACUCCGUGCCAGCAGCCGCGGUAAUACGGAGGGGGCUAGCGUUAUUCGGAAUUACUGGGCGUAAAGCGCACGUAGGCGGAUUGGAAAGUCAGAGGUGAAAUCCCAGAGCUCAACUUUGGAACUGCCUUUGAAACUCCCAGUCUUGAGGUCGAGAGAGGUGAGUGGAAUUCCGAGUGUAGAGGUGAAAUUCGUAGAUAUUCGGAGGAACACCAGUGGCGAAGGCGGCUCACUGGCUCGAUACUGACGCUGAGGUGCGAAAGCGUGGGGAGCAAACAGGAUUAGAUACUCUGGUAGUCCACGCCGUAAACGAUGAAUGCCAGUCGUCGGGUAGCAUGCUAUUCGGUGACACACCUAACGGAUUAAGCAUUCCGCCUGGGGAGUACGGCCGCAAGGUUAAAACUCAAAUGAAUUGACGG
rnacentral:rRNA from 1 species